UCGUUUAUCUUCCAACACAAGCUUGUUCCUCGUUGUCCAUAGUUGCCAGAGGAUCCAUGGCGCCAGGGGUCCCGACGUUACACCCAUUGGGGGAAGAUUCUUCCCUGAAAUCAGACCGCCCCAGGUUGUCCUUAAGUCUAUGGAUCCGCUACUCUCGAUGCCCGGGGAGACAGGUGCUUGGCUCCAAACCUGUUGAGCAAAACCACAUUCGAGAAACAGAUGAUUUAUAGAUUCAGGUAAAGCGCCAUGGAACAACUUCCAUAGGAAGAGUUUAACUUUUGGGGUAAGUUUAAGUUUCCAUAUGUUCUUUUGCCAGUUGAAGGACGGUGUAGUUUGAAGGGUUGUAGGGAAGUCUUUUUGCUGCAGGAGAGCCGCAGCGUAUCUUGAUCUUGUAGUGUAUUCCCCAGAGGCAUCAUUUAGCCAGAUUAGCUUAUAUGGGGCUCCUUCAAAACUAGGCUUGAUCGAGAGUAUACGCUGCUCAUCGAGCGGUAGUAUCUGUCUGAUCUUUUCUACAUCCCAAGCCUUCUUAUCUUGAGUAAACAGGUCCGCGACCGUGCAAUUUACCACCGCUUCCGGAGCUGGUCCCAUUGGUCUUUCCUGCGCAGAGAGACUGAGCCAUGGCUUGUCCCAAAUGUUGAUACUAGUUCCAUUUCCCACAGCCCAACCCGAGUGUUCCACAAUGAUGUCCCUCCCGAUCAUUAUGCUGCGCCAACCAUGGGAGCAAGCAGAGCGGACUGGGCAGGUGAGGAAACUUUCCGUUUGGCAAUACUUCCCUAGGAGGAAUUUAGCUACAUGUCUGUAUUAUCUUUUUAGUUCCUAAAACAAAUUUUGGUUCGCAGCUCUGCGCUACAUGAUUUACUGCAAUACAUAAUUUAUGUUUUUAGGUGUUUGAUAAAUCAAUACACAACUAAAAGUGAGCAAAAAGAACAAUACACAACUAAAAAUAUAUUUUUUUCCAGCUCUACAGCAUCCUCUUGACUACAGGGAAUAGUAGACACUCAAACAAUCAAAUUCUUCAAUGCUUUUAUUCUAGGUAAAUAACAUUUUUAAAGUCUUCGUUCUUGAAAAUAAGAAUGGUUGGAAAACCUGAAAUUGGAAAAUCAUUAUGUUGGACUUCUUUUCUGUCAAAUUAGCGUGAGUCAUCCAUUAAUACAUAUAAUUCUCUAACAAUGCUUCCAAGUUACCAUUUCAGUACGAGUAAUACUAAUAAGCAGUAAAGCUAUCUUCUACGGCCGAAAUAAAGAGUUUGAUAACUUCCAUUACUUGAUUAUUUUCCAAUUUACAUACUGAUAUUUAUCUCUUGAUUUGCUUUCAUAAUAUGGUGUUUCUCAGUAAUAUCGUUUUUGUUUGCAAUUAAAAUACUAAAUGUAAUAGGGCAAAAAAACAAAAGUUGCAGGUUAAAAAUACGAAAACAGGUUAAGAAUUAAGAAAACACAAGCAAACAAUACAUUAAAGUGAAAUGCUUCAAACUAAUAUUUGUAUUUUUUGUUCAAACUAAUAUUUGUGUUUUAUGAGCUAAUUAAGAUCAAUGUAAUUUUAUAACAAAUUUAAGUGAAUUUUGUAUGUUUGUUAUUCAAUGAUAUAUAUCUUAAAUUUCUUUGUAAGUAAAAUAUUCUCGUGCUACGCACGAGGUUCAUACUAGUUUUUUUAUAAACUUGAAGAAUCUUCUCAAGUAGAAAACCAUCCUCUCACAAAUCAGUAUAGUCCACGUAGUUGCGGCGAUGCUUAUCAGUAUUUGGUUAAGAGAAAAGAAAACAUCAACCAAGGAUAACUUGGGCACCUGAACACCGAUCAAAGGGGCAACUACUGAAUAGCGGGUGUCAACUGCAGCAGCAAACCAAGCAUGCAUUCCUGUAUUUGAUUUCAAAAUGAGCAGAGUUAGUAAUGUAUUAAUACCAAAAGCUACAACUCAUGGUACUUUCUUUUGUGACUGACCUUUUAGGAAAUACCGGUGAUUCCUAUCCUUUGUGGAUCUAUAUCUUUCCUCUGAGUGAGAUAUUCAGCUAGCUUGAUCAAAUCCCAGACCUGAAAAACAAAAACAUCAACAUCAAUAAUUAGAUGCAAUAAUAAUGUUUUACCAGAGUCGGUCCUGAGAUUUAAUCAUGAAAUUUAAGAGACUAUUAACAUUUUGGUGAUAAUCUUAAUAAUUAUUUUUACAACCUGAGACCAUAAAACGUAUGUAUAUUAGUUUUUCAAAGUUUUGGAGACAGUAUAUAUGAUUAGGCUAUGCCACCGGUCAUGAGUCUUACAUUCUAAAGUGAAACAAAAAAAAUGGAGCAAAAUGGGAGUAAUGUUCUUACAGUAUCAAAGAUAAAAGGCAUUGUGUCUCCUUUUUUCCAAGAUGAAAUAAGAGCCUGCAUUGAAAUAUACACCAAAACCACAACCACAAUGUUAGAUCUCAAAAGACUAAAGAAUGACCACUAGUUGAUGAUGAAUCAUAAACAAUGACUUACAUCUUGAUAGGCGGUUUUGGAGUCAACUCUUUCCCCAUGGUAGCGAGAGUCUAAACCAAUGGCUACAUAUCCCCGUGAAGCAUAUGCCUUAAGAAGCAAACCAAGCAACUUGUUUCAACUUUAAGUAUAUCAGAAAUCAAAAAGUACAAGUUAAAAUGUUAUUUUGAUUUUACCUCAAGCCAUGGCCUUAACCAUUCUUUGUUUGCCCUUGUGCCAUGCAUAAACACAACAGCUGGUCUUCUUUCUUCACUCUUCUUCUUCAAGCUUAAAAUAAGCAAAGGCAAUCUUCCUUGCUCUCCAGCCUUGUUCCACUACAGAAACAAGAUCUUAGGACAUAGAAAAAUUAUCAGAAAGAGAAAGGGGAAAUAAAUUAAUGAAAGGUAGCUAAGCUUCAAUGUAACUAUCUCAGGCGUGGAAUGUGUAUGGAGUGCUCAACUUCUUGCAAGCACUUGUGGAGAAGUCUAACAUCGUCAAGAUUCUGGAGCAAGAGAAGGAAGGUCUUGAGCAGUUCACUGCCACUGAUGGGUAUGAUUACAGUGGUGGAAGCAACGUGUUGAAGGUCCCUGGUUACUUCAGCAUGGUUGGUCUGUUGCGUGUUCAUUGCCUGCUGGGAGAUUACCAUACUGGUUUGAAAUGGUUGCAGCCUAUUGAUAUUACUCAGCAAUGUGUUUACACCAGUGUCAUUGGAUGCCAUAUUGCAACUAUAUAUCACUAUGGAUUUGCCAACCUUAUGUUGCCAAGGUACACUUUUAUUCAAUGUUCAAGAAAUCGCUAGGCGGUAGUUAUGCGCUUUAUAUUGAUUAGGCAGGUGGCUAGACUGAUUUUAAAAAAUCAUUCUAGAAAAAUCGUUUCAUCUAGGUCUGAUUUGCAGACUAGACCGAUUAAAAUUGGUUCUAGAAAAAUCAUUUCGUCUAGGUCUGAUUCACAGACCGAUUUUUAGAACACUGAUUUUAUUUAACAUUUUCUCAUUAGGUGCAUGUUUGUAAUUAUAUUAUGAUUGGGGCAAAACUGUGGCAGGUAUAUAGAUGCGGUUCGUGAAUUCAACAAGAUUCUCCUCUACAUCUACAAGACAAAGCAGUACCUCCAAAAGUCACCGCAGUAGCACCAAAAGUCACCGCAGUAUGAGCAAUUACUGAAGAAGAACGAGCAGAUGUAUGCAUUACAUGCGGUCUGUCUCUCCCUCUGCCCGCAGACAGAACUUGUUGACGAGUCUGUCAACUCUCAGUUGCGAGAGAAGUAUGGCGAGAAGAUGAUGAGGAUGCAGAGGUUCGACGAUGAGGCAUUUGGUGUUUAUGAUGAGCUCUUCUCUUAUGCGUGCCCCAAGUUUAUCACCCCUUCUGCACCAAGUUUUGAGGAGCCUCUUGUCAAUUACAAUCAGGUACUAACUAAAGUUUAAUGACUAUGAGGAGUUGUGUGUUCUUAAGAGUUUUAACUUUUUUUGGCGGUGGCAUCCCUCAGGAUGCAUACAGGCUUCAGCUGAAGAUGUUCCUUUAUGAGGUGAAGCAGCAGAUGAACCAACUCUAAGGUGAGGAACCAUGUGCAUAUACAAGUGAGGACGUUCCUUAAAGUCUACUCCUCCAUUUCUCUUGGUAAGCUCGCAAACUACAUGGAACUUGAUGAACCAACUCUAAGGUGAGGAACCAUGUGCAUAUAGAUUUUACUAAAAGUAGCCAUGUGGGUUUGGUUACUUGGAAUUCUAGGUUAGUUGGUUCUGCUAAACUCGAAAAAAUUUGGUUAGUUCGUUUCAAAAUUUCUACCAAAAUUUUUGGAAUUCAGUUAAAUUUCAUUUUAAAUUUGUUAAAAUUUUUGGUUAAGGUAGAUUAUUUCUGGUAAGUUCGGUUCAGAAUUUUGUUUAGGAUGGUAUAGUUCAGUUAUUUUUUUCGAGAAACCGAAUUAAUCGAUACCAAACAGAACUGAAAGCUGAAUUUUUUUGAAUUGCCAAAUCAAACCAAACCUCCUAACUGACUUGAACCGAAAAUCGGACAUUUUGGUUCGGUUUGACAGGUUCGGUUAAUAACCGCAUGCCUAACUAAAAGUGUCUUAGCAAUGUGUUUUUAUUUGUCUUUGACAUGUACUAAUUAAAAUGCAGGACCAUAUUGUUGACAUACAAGCACAAGACUCAUUCAGUUGGUUAUGAUGGGAAGAUCAUCUCCAAUGCAGACAUUGAUUUCGACAUAAAUGAUGUAUGUUUUUCCUACUCUUUCCAUAUCUCAAGGUCAUUAGUGCUUUUGGUUUCAGAAGUAAAUCUAAAGAUGGUGAAAAACUGCAGGACAUGAUGGACGUUGUUGAAACAAAACCCACAAAACAGUACGGCGAUUUCUUCUUGCGGCAGAUUGCAAAGCUUGAAGGUGUGAUAAACGACAUGGACCGCAUCAAGCUGGAAUG